AGAUUGAACGCUGGCGGCAUGCUUUACACAUGCAAGUCGAACGGCAGCGCGGGGCAACCUGGCGGCGAGUGGCGAACGGGUGAGUAAUAUAUCGGAACGUACCCAAGAGUGGGGGAUAACGUAGCGAAAGUUACGCUAAUACCGCAUACGAUCUAAGGAUGAAAGCAGGGGACCGCAAGGCCUUGUGCUCCUGGAGCGGCCGAUAUCUGAUUAGCUAGUUGGUAGGGUAAAGGCCUACCAAGGCUACGAUCAGUAGCUGGUCUGAGAGGACGACCAGCCACACUGGAACUGAGACACGGUCCAGACUCCUACGGGAGGCAGCAGUGGGGAAUUUUGGACAAUGGGCGCAAGCCUGAUCCAGCCAUGCCGCGUGUGUGAAGAAGGCCUUGGUGUAAAGCACUUUUGUACGGAAGAAAGCUUUCGGUUAAUACCCGGAAGUUCUGACGGUACCGUAAGAAUAAGCACCGGCUAACUCGCGCCAGCAGCCGC
rnacentral:rRNA from 1 species